GCUACGUGGAAGAGGAAAGAAAAUCUCCAUCUGUCAUUAUUGCAAGCGAUGUUUUAUCAGUGGCGGAAGGGUCGGCCGAUGUCAAAUCGAUCAGUCAUAUUGGAUAUAAGUGAGAAAUUACGAUGAAUCUCGAAUGUUGUGGCAGGCAGCUAAAUAAAAAUCUAAUUUCCAGCUCAUUCAUGUAAGAUUCGAGAAGGAGGUUAUACAUUUUCUUCGUUUCUUUAGAGAUUUAUGUUUUGUCUUUUUCAUUUAGCUUAUAGCUCUAUAGCCAAGCGACGAACAGGGAUAAAGGAGCUUUGAUAUACCGCGUACUUUCCAAGAAAAGGAUCCCGUAAAGUAAGAAGCAAAC